rnacentral:lncRNA from 1 species
UUUUUCAUCAAGAACAUCACCUAUGGGUCUGUUUGGAGAUGCUGUAGCCUUUGGUUAAAAAAUAAUUUUUGAUAAAAACUAUAUUUUGAGAUCAAAAACUAUUUUAAGAUAAAGCAAUCUUUUGUUGUAAACUGUUUGGCUGCGAAGAUCUAAGAGCUGAAACAAUAGAAGUAGUUUGUUGUGUAUUUGAUUGGCAAAUCCAAAAACUGAUUUUGAAUGGCAA